CCGCGGUACCCUGACCGCGCGAAGGUAGCAUAAUCACUUGUUCUUUAAAUAAGGACUCGUAUCAACGGCAUCACGAGGAUCGUACUGUCUCCCCCCUCCAAUCAGUGAAACUGAUCUCUCCGUGAAGAAGCGGAGAUUUAAUUAUAAGACGAGAAGACCCCAUGGAGCUUUAAACCUUACUAUACCCUUAUUUUUACACCAUUAAAAUAACAAGGUCCUAUAUAUAGGUUUUAGGUUGGGGUGACCGCGGAGUACAAAAAAACCUCCACGAUGGAUGGAACUAUAUCCUUAUCCAAGAGCAACAACUCUAAGAAUUAGUACACUAACAUUUAAUGAUCCAAUAUAAAUAAUUGAUCAACGAACCAAGUUACCCUGGGGAUAACAGCGCAAUCCACUUCAAGAGCCCGUAUCAACAAGUGGGUUUACGACCUCGAUGUUGGAUCAGGGUGUCCUAGUGGUGCAGCAGCUACUAAAGGUUCGUUUGUUCAACGAUUAAAACCCU
rnacentral:rRNA from 1 species